AUCAGCUUUGCCAGAGUCAGCACAGCUGGGGAAAGAGAGAGCUGGCAGAUGUAUUAUCCCUAGGUGAGAAAGAUGACAAAGCCUGAUUCUUCUAACUCAGCAUGGUUGUGUGGGUAAGGUGGUGCACUAGGAUCAAGAAAUCCGGUUUUGGUUCUUGACAUGUUAAGCCCACUCCAAUCACCAGCACGUGUCCAGCUCUCCUAGGCUGGGUCUGCAAAAGCCUCUAAUCCAGCUGCCUUCGUCCUUCAUUCUGGUCUCAGCAGAAGAGAGCCCAGAUGCAGGCGGAUGCGGUUGUGGUGAUGGAGCACACACAAUCUGUCAGGAAAAAGAUCUGUGGACUGAGGUGGAUUCACAGGAUCAGUGUCACAUCACACGUGGGCAGGAGGAGCAUUUCCACGCCUAGCUGAGGGGAGGCACAAGCGUGAAGAAUUCAGAGCAAUCAGAAACGGAUUUCACACCCCAGCGAAUGUAUUCACAUGUGACCGGUUCUGACAAGAAAUUGACUUUUGUUCACUCUAAUAACCUUAGGUCUGUGGGUCUGAUUAACACCUAUGUCAAAACCUGGGUGUAUCUGGGUGUGAUCACACCUACGUCAAAGUUGCUGGGCUAUUCCAGAACAAGUUUUCACACCCUAGCCCCCAACUCGCCCACACCCGUGGGUGCUGGUUCGUUGCCAUAGUUACCCAGUCCUCCACUGCUCAGCGUGCAACAUGUCUCAGUUCUCACCAGAAGAUGAACUCCUGACAAGGCGGGAGAAUGUCCAGGAGACAGGGCUAUGGCCAGGCAGUGAGGGGCUGGGUCAGAGGUCGCUAUUGUUUUGUUUUCCUCUGGCCUCCAGCAAGGGGGCAAUGGGGGUGGUUGAAUUGCAGAGCUAAGCUGCCUAGUAAGAAAAGGGAAACCAAGGCAGUGUCUGUGACUUCACACAGGAGAGUUUCUGGUUCACUGUUACAAGAACCAAUUCUCCUGCUGGUUCAGGCUGAUUUAACAGAGCCAGUCUGGGCCAGUCCUUUGUACAAAGAGGCAGCAUUUUGACAAAGGGAAAGGAAAUCCUGGAGACAUACUGAAAUAAAUGAGAGCAUAAGGGGAAAUAAACAAGGUUGAGGUGAGGGGAGAUUACCUCUUCCUACCAUUGUUCUUCUCUUCCUGACUUUGACCCUUGGCACAGUUAUUUGGUGAAGUUGCAGGGUCUCACAAACCUAACUCACGAUAAAGUGCUGCUAUUCCUGGGCACAAAACCAGUUUGAUCCAUGCCCCAGAAAAACUGGAAUCUCAGGCUGUCUGAAUUACAUCCCACCCUGGGCUCAGCACCAACUCAACCCUUUCCUCCAGACUGCUCGUCUCCUGGUUUAUAAAUCAUUUGGCCCUGAUUGAUGGCAGCUGCCUUGACACUCCAGCCUGGGAGUGAAAAAGAGUCAGUCCAGUCCCCCUACUCUAAUCCAUUAUUCAUACAAAGUGAAACAGCUUCGACAGGCGAGAGUGAGAGAGCCCUGCCCCAGGA